GUAGCUGGGCUGGACGAGCAAUGCAACCAAACGCGCCGGGCCCGGUCAGGGCUCUCACUCGCGAGCAGCAACCGAGCUACUCCCCUCUUCAUUUGCUUUCCCUUCUCCCCCCAUGGCCUCACCCACUCACAGCCAUGGUCACUGCCUGAUCUCCCUGGCCAGUAUAGGCUCGCCCCGCCCCCUGAUCUCCCCGGAUCCCACGGUCUCGCCCCAUGUAUAGCGUGCUCCCGUCAGUCCCAGUCUCACAACUACGUACAGACCCGAGCGAGAGAAAAGAGGAGCAGCGCCGUCGGUUGACCGGCGCUGCCGCCGACCUCAGCCACCCCGUCCCCGACAACCACGACGACUCAAAGUACUGAAAGAUGAUUCCGCUUGUCUCACUUGUCUAGCAGAACUGGCUGCCUCAUCUCCACUACUAUUACUAAAUGGAUGUACGCAUGAUGUAGGAAGUUAUGAAGAUGGUCGAAGUUGAAUCCAUUGCCAUGGCCUGAUAGUCCCUGCCUCGCCAAUUCGCACCGAUUGGCUUGAUCCCAUGCAUCACAAAUGACACGGUGUCAUCACCGCCAAGUCAGCACAACACGACUUCGGUCUCGCAAAGAGGUGUGAUUACAUACCUGAACUGUCCCUUAACUGAUCUGAUGAUCAGCACACACCCGGAAUAUCUCGCCCAGCCAUGCAUUAUGGUACUCUUUAUAUGGUUCGCAUUAUCUGAUCUGGGCGAGAUAUGGGGCAACUACCAAUAUAUGGUAAGUACCGAUCUGAUUUUGAUGCGUUGAUGAAAAUUGAUUGAUUGAUUCGUGAGUGUAUGCAGGAAAUCAGAGCAACCAACAGGGAAGCAAAAGGAAAGGAGGCAUGAAGGAAACCAAUCUUUGUCCAUGAUUCUGGUGAGUGCCCUGAAGGAUAGCCCUGCUAACAUGAAGGAAACCAAUCUCUCCAUGAUCUGGUUCUGGGUGAGAUGAUGGAGUUUUUGGCCGGUGACCCUCCCACGAAGAUUCUGCUGUAAUCAUGUAGUUAUUGUGGGGGUUCGUCAGCUGAAAUCAUGGAGAUAUUUUGGGUUUUUUUUUUCCGGAGAAUGUAUGUAUGUGAAAUCAUGUAGUUAUUGUGGACGUUUGUUAGCUGAAAUCAUGGAGAUAUUCUAGGUGGCUUUUUAUUCGCAGAAUGUAUGUAUGUGUUUUGGUGGGAGGGCAAAAUUGUCUUAUUGAAAAUAUGCUUGACGAAAGCUUCGACCGGAGGAAACAGAGGAAGUUCUUCCUUUUUAGAUGGUAGA